GGCCCCAUCGUCUAGCGGUCAGGACGUAGCCCUCUCAAGGCUAAGACCGGGGUUCGAGUCCCCGUGGGGUCACCA
rnacentral:tRNA from 1 species